rnacentral:rRNA from 1 species
UACGUAGGUGGCAAGCGUUGUCCGGAUUUACUGGGCGUAAAGAGCGCGCAGGCGGCCAAGUCAGUCGAAUGUGAAAUCCCACGGCUUAACUGUGGAACGGCUGGGCAUACUGGCGGUCUUGAGCCAUCUAGGGGCGACUGGAACAAGCGGUGGAGCGGUGAAAUGCGUAGAUAUCGUUUGGAACGCCAAUGGUGAAAACAGGUCGCUGGGGAUGAGCUGACGCUGAGACACGAAAGCCAGGGGAGCAAACGGG